UAGAGUUUGAUCCUGGCUCAGAACGAACGCUGGCGGCAGGCCUCAAACAUGCAAGUCUAGGGGGUGUAGCAAUACAUCACCGGCGGACGGGUGCGUAACACGUGGGAAUGUACUUACUGGUUCGGAACAACUGCGGGAAACUGCAGCUAAUACCGAAUGUGCCCGAAAGGGGAAAGAUUUAUCGCCAGUAAAUCAGCCCGCGUUCGAUUAGCUAGUUGGUGAGGUAAUGGCUCACCAAGGCUCCGAUCGAUAGCUGUUCUGAGAGGAAGAUCAGCCACACUGGGACUGAGACACGGCCCAGACUCCUACGGGAGGCAGCAGUUGGGAAUCUUGGACAAUGGGGGAAACCCUGAUCCAGCCAUGCCGCGUGAGUGAUGAAGGCCUUCGGGUUGUAAAGCUCUUUUACCCGGGAAGAUAAUGACUGUACCGGGAGAAUAAGCUCCGGCUAACUUCGUGCCAGCAGCCGCGGUAAUGCGACG
rnacentral:rRNA from 1 species